GUCAGACACCCAGCUCCAGCAGUGAAGCUCGUCUCAGUAUAGCAGUGCGCGAGUACCUAUACCUACAACAGCGAUGAAGUUCAUUGUGUGUGUCUUCUUGUUUUUGGUGAUCUUGGAGGGAUUGUAUGCACAUUUCUGGCCUUUAUUCCCUCCUCUUCCACCACUGCCACCACUGCCACCACCGCCACCAUUGUUCCAAUUCAACAUGGUACAAUAUUAUUAU